CUUAUCAAUUUUCCAUUAGGGUUAUAUCCAAACUGCUCAACUUUAUCCUUAUAAACUUCCCUUUUAACUUUAUUCUCUUCUCAUUUUUUUUCAACCAUGCACUGCAUUCUUUUCCUAAAAUUUUCUUUCGCAGAGUCAAGAAAAGAUUUAAACUACGACAUAAUCAUGCAAUUAAUAUUGCAGUAACACCAAUAUUUAUCAAAAAGACAAGGAGAAGAUUUAUGAUUCUUACUGACAUAUAUUUAAGGAUUAACUGUAUUUUAUUUCUUUGUGUAGAAGAACAAGGAGAAAUUUUUAAGAGCAAUUUGUUAGCAUCAAAUUGCGGUUGAAAGGCGAAACGGGGGAAGCCUUAUAGAGCAAAUAGUCAUGACUGUGAUGGAAGAUUGUCCAAUCUCAACGGUUACAGGUUUCAAUCACAUUAACUAUUAACAACUUCUCUUCUUUUUAAAUUUUCCAUUUUUUAUUAUCAAAUUUAUUUAUAUUAUUAUAAUAUUCAAUCUGUUGCUGAAAAAAUUCGCUCCUCAUUACCAUUUUUCCACAAAAGACAAAAAAUAAAAACUAAAUAAUGCACAUUAGGUCAUCAACUACACGUAAAUUGCAUAUUUUUUUUAAAAAAUUAACCCACUUCCCCGAAUCCCUCUCCUCAUUGACAUGUUUUUUUCUUUGUGGAAAGUGUUUUUUUUUUUUUUUCCUUUUUUACCAUUUUCAAAUAUAGUGAAAAAAAAUCACAGAAAGAAGAAUUUCUAAUGGAAAAAGGAUGUGAAGAAAAGAAAAUGACAGAGAGGAUAAGAAGAAGUUGAUUGGCAAUAGGGUAGGAAAAAUAUCAACCAAACCUUAAAUAAUUCUUUCUUUUCCUUUUAGUUUUGAUACGAUUUAAAUGGCCUCCUUAUCUUUCAAUAACAUCAUUCAAAGUCAGUACGUGAGGCAUUAAGCUUUGGUCACAUUAAAAAAACGGGAUCCUACAUGGAGGGACCGAUUUGAGUACACCAAAGAGCAAUUCCACGUGUGAAAGAUUGCUUAGAGCAUUGAAGAUUGAGGAUUCACGGUUUUGGGCUUUCAUUAAGGACAUUUUGGUUACUUAGCCUUGUCCAAGUAACACUUCAUGACCACCCCUUUUCAUUAAGAGUAUUGUGGUCAUUUUGUUAUGUAAUAAGUUAGACUAUAAAUAAGUUUUAUUAGUUCAUUUGCUAGUUAGUUUAUGAAAGAUGAAAGAUUAAAACACUUGAAAUCCUCUCUCUUGAGAGUAGACCACCUUAGUAUAGUCUUAGUUAGGACUUGGAAAUGUCAUCCUUAGUAUAGGGCUUGAAAAAGUCAAUAUUGUUCUUUGCUUGAAAACGGUGGAUCUUGAGGUGAGUCGAUUACCUUGACGGUCACCGUAUGAGUGUGGUUUUGAUUAUUACAUUCAUUAGGGAUUAAUGUUGAAAUAUACUUGGUUCUUAAUCUUGUAAUAAUCUUGAUCUCACUAUUUAUCCUUUCAUUAUUUUGCAAAGCCGUGUGUUUUAGUGUUUGUCAGUUUGUAUCCCUUUGUGUUGCUUGUUCUUCUCACGUUUUGUGAACUGUUUUGACAUCUUGGUGGACUGAUUUGUAUCACUUUUUUAUUUCUUCAGAUUACAUACAAUCAUUCGUUUUUUUAUUUGCCUUUACUUUUUAAUUUCAGUUAAUCCAUUAUUAUUUUUAAAUAUUGUAUACUCAAUUUGCAUAAAAAAAACAGUUUUUAUUAAUGUCUUUAAGGAGCUAAUUGGAUUUAAAGGAACCUCGACGAAUGUCAUUACAUUUACGUUAAAUUGAAAGAAUGUCUCAUAUAGAUAAUCAGCGAGAAGUAAAAGUUCUGAUUUUUUAUUCAUGAUUAAAUAAUAUGUGUCUGGACAAUUUUUUUUUCCUAUAAGGCUUUUAAAAAAAUACAUUCUUCAUCACUUAUUGUUCUUAUGAAUGUUGCAUGUCUAAUUAACCUUUGUCUAUUUUCCAACACGUGAAAAAAUAAAGAUGAUUUGAAGUCGAUUUAAUGUCCAAAUUAAGCAUCAACAUUAUGAAAUUGAAGGUGAUUGGUUUGUUCUAUUGUUGACUUACUUGAGUAGUUUGAUGUUUUAGCUUCUACCGUCACAUCUUGAGUAUCAAUUAUUUUUUAAUUGACAGAUAUUACAAACGGAACGAGGAAGAUCGGAGAUUACUUUAAUGAUUUUGUAAUGAGUCAUUGAUAAAUAUUUAUUGAAAAUGUUCCUCUUCAAGAUGAGGUUUACGAAAAAUAUUAAUUUCUCAUCAAUCAAUAUUAUGCUAGAAUACAUGUUCAAUUAUAUUAUACU
rnacentral:lncRNA from 1 species